rnacentral:rRNA from 1 species
UAAGGGCGCACGGUGGAUGCCUUGGCACUAGAAGCCGAUGAAGGACGUUACUAACGACGAUAUGCUUUGGGGAGCUGUAAGUAAGCUUUGAUCCAGAGAUUUCCGAAUGGGGAAACCCAGCAUGAGUUAUGUCAUGUUAUCGAUAUGUGAAUACAUAGCAUAUCAGAAGGCACACCCGGAGAACUGAAACAUCUUAGUACCCGGAGGAAGAGAAAGAAAAUUCGAUUCCCUUAGUAGCGGCGAGCGAAACGGGAAGAGCCCAAACCAACAAGCUUGCUUGUUGGGGUUGUAGGACACUCUAUACGGAGUUACAAAGGACGACAUUAGACGAAUCAUCUGGAAAGAUGAAUCAAAGAAGGUAAUAAUCCUGUAGUCGAAAAUGUUGUCUCUCUUGAGUGGAUCCUGAGUACGACGGAGCACGUGAAAUUCCGUCGGAAUCUGGGAGGACCAUCUCCUAAGGCUAAAUACUCUCUAGUGACCGAUAGUGAACCAGUACCGUGAGGGAAAGGUGAAAAGCACCCCGGAAGGGGAGUGAAAUAGAACCUGAAACCGUGUGCUUACAAGUAGUCAGAGCCCGUUAAUGGGUGAUGGCGUGCCUUUUGUAGAAUGAACCGGCGAGUUACGAUUUGAUGCAAGGUUAAGCAGUAAAUGUGGAGCCGUAGCGAAAGCGAGUCUGAAUAGGGCGUUUAGUAUUUGGUCGUAGACCCGAAACCAGGUGAUCUACCCUUGGUCAGGUUGAAGUUCAGGUAACACUGAAUGGAGGACCGAACCGACUUACGUUGAAAAGUGAGCGGAUGAACUGAGGGUAGCGGAGAAAUUCCAAUCGAACCUGGAGAUAGCUGGUUCUCUCCGAAAUAGCUUUAGGGCUAGCCUCAAGUGAUGAUUAUUGGAGGUAGAGCACUGUUUGGACGAGGGGCCCCUCUCGGGUUACCGAAUUCAGACAAACUCCGAAUGCCAAUUAAUUUAACUUGGGAGUCAGAACAUGGGUGAUAAGGUCCGUGUUCGAAAGGGAAACAGCCCAGACCACCAGCUAAGGUCCCAAAAUAUAUGUUAAGUGGAAAAGGAUGUGGCGUUGCCCAGACAACUAGGAUGUUGGCUUAGAAGCAGCCAUCAUUUAAAGAGUGCGUAAUAGCUCACUAGUCGAGUGACACUGCGCCGAAAAUGUACCGGGGCUAAACAUAUUACCGAAGCUGUGGAUUGUCCUUUGGACAAUGGUAGGAGAGCGUUCUAAGGGCGUUGAAGCAUGAUCGUAAGGACAUGUGGAGCGCUUAGAAGUGAGAAUGCCGGUGUGAGUAGCGAAAGACGGGUGAGAAUCCCGUCCACCGAUUGACUAAGGUUUCCAGAGGAAGGCUCGUCCGCUCUGGGUUAGUCGGGUCCUAAGCUGAGGCCGACAGGCGUAGGCGAUGGAUAACAGGUUGAUAUUCCUGUACCACCUAUAAUCGUUUUAAUCGAUGGGGGGACGCAGUAGGAUAGGCGAAGCGUGCGAUUGGAUUGCACGUCUAAGCAGUAAGGCUGAGUAUUAGGCAAAUCCGGUACUCAUUAAGGCUGAGCUGUGAUGGGGAGAAGACAUUGUGUCUUCGAGUCGUUGAUUUCACACUGCCGAGAAAAGCCUCUAGAUAGAAAAUAGGUGCCCGUACCGCAAACCGACACAGGUAGUCAAGAUGAGAAUUCUAAGGUGAGCGAGCGAACUCUCGUUAAGGAACUCGGCAAAAUGACCCCGUAACUUCGGGAGAAGGGGUGCUCUUUAGGGUUAACGCCCAGAAGAGCCGCAGUGAAUAGGCCCAAGCGACUGUUUAUCAAAAACACAGGUCUCUGCUAAACCGUAAGGUGAUGUAUAGGGGCUGACGCCUGCCCGGUGCUGGAAGGUUAAGAGGAGUGGUUAGCUUCUGCGAAGCUACGAAUCGAAGCCCCAGUAAACGGCGGCCGUAACUAUAACGGUCCUAAGGUAGCGAAAUUCCUUGUCGGGUAAGUUCCGACCCGCACGAAAGGCGUAACGAUUUGGGCACUGUCUCAACGAGAGACUCGGUGAAAUCAUAGUACCUGUGAAGAUGCAGGUUACCCGCGACAGGACGGAAAGACCCCGUGGAGCUUUACUGUAGCCUGAUAUUGAAAUUCGGCACAGCUUGUACAGGAUAGGUAGGAGCCUUUGAAACGUGAGCGCUAGCUUACGUGGAGGCGCUGGUGGGAUACUACCCUAGCUGUGUUGGCUUUCUAACCCGCACCACUUAUCGUGGUGGGAGACAGUGUCAGGCGGGCAGUUUGACUGGGGCGGUCGCCUCCUAAAAGGUAACGGAGGCGCUCAAAGGUUCCCUCAGAAUGGUUGGAAAUCAUUCAUAGAGUGUAAAGGCAUAAGGGAGCUUGACUGCGAGACCUACAAGUCGAGCAGGGUCGAAAGACGGACUUAGUGAUCCGGUGGUUCCGCAUGGAAGGGCCAUCGCUCAACGGAUAAAAGCUACCCCGGGGAUAACAGGCUUAUCUCCCCCAAGAGUUCACAUCGACGGGGAGGUUUGGCACCUCGAUGUCGGCUCAUCGCAUCCUGGGGCUGUAGUCGGUCCCAAGGGUUGGGCUGUUCGCCCAUUAAAGCGGUACGCGAGCUGGGUUCAGAACGUCGUGAGACAGUUCGGUCCCUAUCCGUCGUGGGCGUAGGAAAUUUGAGAGGAGCUGUCCUUAGUA